GUGUGAGUUCAGAUCGCAGCUCUACCAGUGAGGCCCAUCCAGCCUGGAGGAGGCCUCCAAGGAGGAAUGCACAGAAUUCCACUCCCAGAUUUCCUGAGGCCUGAACGGACGCUGGAUGACAGCGCAUGGGGAGAGGUGCAAACCCAGAUGUGGGCGCAAGGACAGAUGGAGACGGUCUAGGCCCGCUAGAGAGCUGUUUGGGGGAAUGACACCAACACACAAAU